rnacentral:rRNA from 1 species
AGAGUUUGAUCCUGGCUCAGAACGAACGCUGGCGGCGCGCCUAAUACAUGCAAGUCGAGCGAGAAGGUGUAGCAAUACACUUGUAAAGCGGCGAACGGGUGAGGAAUACAUGGGUAAUCUACCAUCGAGUGGGGAAUAACCAGCCGAAAGGUUGGCUAAUACCGCGUACGCCUCCGGAUCUUCGGGUUCGGAGGGAAAGCUGCACUGUGAGUGUAGCGCUCUUUGAUGAGCUCAUGUCCUAUCAGCUUGUUGGUAGGGUAACGGCCUACCAAGGCUUUGACGGGUAGCUGGUCUGAGAAGACGAUCAGCCACACUGGCACUGCGACACGGGCCAGACUCCUACGGGAGGCAGCAGUAAGGAAUAUUGCGCAAUGGGCGAAAGCCUGACGCAGCGACGCCGCGUGGGGGAUGAAGGUCUUCGGAUUGUAAACCCCUUUCGGGAGGGAAGAUGGAACGAGCAAUCGUUCGGACGGUACCUCCAGAAGCAGCCACGGCCAACUUCGUGCCAGCAGCCGCGGUAAUACGAAGGUGGCAAGCGUUGUUCGGAUUCACUGGGCGUACAGGGUGUGUAGGCGGUUUGGUAAGCCUUCUGUUAAAGCUUCGGGC